GUGUCAUAGAGGACCCCGGCAGCACAUAUACUAAAAACGGAGAAGAUUAGCAUUGCCCCAGUGCAAGGAUGACAUGAAAAUUUGUGAAACAUUCCAUAAAGUG